rnacentral:tRNA from 1 species
GGAAAAUCCGUCGACUUUAAAAAU